UACGUAGGGACCGAGCGUUGUCCGGAAUCAUUGGGCGUAAAGAGCGUGUAGGCGGCCAAUUAAGUCCUGCGUGAAAUCUCGGGGCUCAACCCCGAGCGGUCGUGGGAAACUGGUUGGCUAGAGUGCGGGAGAGGAGAGUGGAAUUCCUGGUGUAGCGGUGAAAUGCGCAGAUAUCAGGAGGAACACCGGUGGGCGAAGGCGGGGUCUC
rnacentral:rRNA from 1 species